AGGCAGGUCUGAUAACUGGGGUGAAGUCGUAACAAGGUAGCCGUAUCGGAAGGUGCGGCUGGAUCACCUCCUUUCUAAGGAA
rnacentral:rRNA from 1 species